AACCACAGGCUACUGAGGUGCCCGAAGUCCUAAGUGUUUAAAAAAAAAAAGCCUUUGGUGCCUGAAUCAAGAAGGCCAGUUUCCCCUGUACUAAAGAGUUUUGCCAACCCACUGCCACAUCACAACACUUCUAGUUUAGUAUAUACAGUUUAUGUUUCAUUAAGAGAACUCAGCUUUACUCUUGACACUUGUUUUAUGACAUUCUCUUAAACUUGUGCUUUGAAAAGUCUGUUCAUUUGAGAUACCACGAUCUAGGUCGACCCAUGACUCCCUGGAUAUCUAGCCAUGGACAACUCUGAACAUCACUGCCCGUCUGGGUUUCAAGGACACAAGGACCAGGAUGAGGCUGAAAACUCCUCUGCAGCAUCUGGCAUCUAUGUUGGUUUAUCUUUUAAAGAGAAGCAGAUUUGGACUUUGACAUAUGGACCAAUGCUCUCAGACCCUCAUCACUCAAGGGUUCUCACAAAAUAAAAGCAAACUCAGAGAAAAUUGGUAUUUGCCAGAGGGGAAGAAAAUGGGAAAGUAUACCGAGUGUCACCAGAAGCCAGGACUUGAUAUAAAAAGCUUGGCUUCUAAACCACUGUGACAUAGCCAGGCAGGUUCUGGGGAUCUCCUGGGCUCUCAUCUGCCACCAGGCCCAACACAGGGCACAGGAGAACACCCAGUCCUCGUCCACUUCUAGAGAACCUCCUCCUUUGGAUAGGACUCCCAGGUGGCCAGGCUCUUGGCAUUGAGAACUGGGGCAAAUAUGAAGAGAUAGGAGUCAUUCCCUUGGUUUGGAAAGACGCAGGAGAUGGUGGUUACGCUUAAACGGAGGGAUAAGAAGUCCACAAAUAUAGGUCCCUCCAAAUCACUUCCUGGAAUAAUCUGAAGACAGAUUUGUAAAACUGAAGCUCAGUUGUGAGGCUCAAUUCCAGACACACAAUGUUCAGGAACGUUCCCUGAGAAACCUUGUGGUACUGCUGGGAGAAGCAACUGAGUGGAGUUUUAGGAAGAAUUCUUAGGAUUUGGAAUUAAGAUGGCAGGGUAGAUGUUUCCAGAAAAGAUUAUCCCUCAAGAUACAUCCUACCAACACCCAGGAUGUUGUUCCCUUCUCCACACUUCCUCAGAAGCAAGUAGCCCCUACUUUCCCCACCAUAUAGCCAAUAUUUUAUAGUAGCUAUAAAGUAUAACCAUCAGGCUAUCAGUAUAUUGUACACCUGUAACAAUGUUGUAUAGCAACUAUAAUUUGAUAAGAAAAUUAAAAACGGUAAUGUGAAUGAAAGUGACUCCAUACCCAACAGCACAUGGUUUGUUUUUUUUAAACACACAGGGAUUUACACUUGUAACCAUCCUGGUACCCCGUUACCAACCUCAUCUGUCUGUCCCUCAUUCUCUGCCUGCUAACACACCCCUGAGUGUUAACAGAAUUGAGGAGCGAGGUUGGACUGCUGACCUCAGUUCCCUGUAUCUUUAAUACAAAUACGAAUUUGCCUAACCCUUUGUGAUCACAAGAUGGGUAGAGACAGUUUUGAGUGGAGACACCACAGAUUUUCUGAGUAGACUUAAUGCAAGUUGACAAGAGAGCGUAUUACAGGGUAGACAGGAUCUGCCUGUUAACAUAAGGCAAGGUGACUUUCUAGGAUGAAUGGAAAGGGCUCAUCUCAUCCUUGGGCUUGGAUUCAGAGUUUAUUUGGUUCAUCUUAAGUAUAGGAAAGGAAGACACCUAAUAUCACUUCUUCCAACUGCCAUUUUCAAGGACUAGGGACAGAGGAAUAUAGUAGAUUCAGACACCUGCCAGUUACUCCCACUGGCCACUCAACUAAGACUUGAAUUUGGGCUCUCUAGACUUGAAUUCGAACAUAUGACCCAGAUAUCAAAGUCCCACUAGAAGUGGAGGUCAGAGGGCAACAUGAGCUCGCGAGGGGCAGUUGGCACCACGUCAACAGGCACCACAGAGGGGGAGAGUCACCCAUGAGGGACCGAGACGACCAAUGAAAGCAGAGCUGAUAAAAGGUGGUCGAUGCCGCCAGUUCACUCCCUGCAUUUUGCUUCAUUUUUAUGGGCAAAUAACCUUGAGAACAGAUUUUCACAUCAGGCAGCUGACGGAAAGUAUGGGAGACUGUCGUCAGAGUCUACCUUUAGACUGUAGGUUAGCUACAGGACACCAUGUAAAGAGCCCGAAGUCACAGUUCUAAGCCCUCCUGUCACAUGGCUGCUUGUGCUGCCUUGGAUCUGUAGGUCAGUGUGUGGCUCAUGCAGGAUUUCUUGCUGAGCAUAGAACCGGACAUAGAUGACCAUCCUCAGGGCAAGAAAGACACACCCUAGUGACAGGGAGACCUUGAAGCCAUCCCUCACUGAUUUUAGGGCUCAGGCUGUUUACCAGGAGCUUCCCUGAAAGGCUACCCUUCAGGGGUAUUAAUAUUUUAGUUACUCCUAUUUGCAGCAUCAUGAAGCCUUCCAGAAAAAUCUAGGGAUAUGUUUGGCAGAUGCCAGAGAAGGAAGGAAGUUCCACAAAAGGACACCACAGUGAGUAGAAGAGGUUUCUUAGGUGUAGACCUCCCAGCACGGGAGGAGAUACGCCCAGGGAGCCCUGAAGAGUGUACUUGGGUCAUUCAGGUCCAAAAUGCAGAGGGACCACUUUUAUAAAGUCUAGAGUCAGAAAAGCUGGACCAGGACCUCCAGGACUGUAUGCCAGCUACCAUCUGCCACCAAAAAGGAUGUCAGGGGAAGCCCCUAUGUGAAGGGCUAUAAGUGGUCAAGAAAAUUCUAUUAGGUUUUGGGAAUAAAAAUGUCAGCGGCUUACAGCUAUUGUGGCCCCAUACUGAGUUUUUCACGUUAAAAUGGUGGUGAGUCGGCACCCAGAAGGUCCCCAGUGAGAAGCCUACAAUGCUGGGGUCACCCCUGGCUCCCCAGGACUCACCCUCAGCCAGUUAUCAUCCUGGCUCAGUCCCUCCAUGCUUCUCCCUCUGGCACGUCCAUCAUGAAGAAGGGUCCAGAGCGUCUUGGGCCUUGGGGUCAUUUUAGGACCCCUGUCCUCCCGCCAACACACGUCCAAGACCAAGCCACGUUCAUGCAGAUCCUUUCAGACUCUUAGGAAAUAAAUUUUAAGGUACAUGAAUUCAUGGAUUUAACCUGUCUCAGAGGUUGUCCUGAGGGUCCUGUUCUCCUUGAAAACAGACAGCUAGUCUGAAAAGUGGUCAGUUCUUCCUUCGCCAGGCUAGUGUCUGAAUAAAGGCGCUGAGCAGUCACGCAAGCUGGGCGCCAGAGGAACAAGGUGUGGACAUGGUGGCAUUGACCGCCAGGACUGUGGCAGCAAAAUGAAAUGAGUGAACAGCCUUAUGGCACAUACCAGCCAAACAGACCUACAGGAGUUAAACAACCCUGGUUACUGUUUAGCUGUUCCUAACACACGCUUGUAGCUAGACUCGUCCUUCGGAAAGCUAAUCACUCUGACUCCAUGUAGAUUACACUCUGCAUCUAGCAUUCUUCUCCCCUCUUGUGUAGAAUUCUGCAUUUCAGAAAGAAGGUCAUGGGCCAAUAAUUUCAGGGACACCAGACCUGCUUGCUGAGUUGCCCGAGGCCGGCUGUGGCCAUUUGGAAACUUCUCAAAAGAAAUGCAAAACCUUCAAGAGGAUAUAAAACCUCUCCCUAUUCCCCAAAGAGGCGGCAUGUUCUGGAGGCACUAGCCUGCUGUGCGUUUCCCUUGGACUGGCAAAAAUAAAGCUGCUCUUGUCUAUUUCCUCCACAAACUCAGUCUCCACCUCUCUCUCUGGCAUCGGUAGACAGAGCCAAGAUUCUGGCAACAGAACCAGUCCAGCAGGCGAAGAGCUAGUGGAGGCGGCCCCCGCAGGCAGCUCGCCUCUGCGGGGCCCACAGGAAGCAUCGCCCGUGUCCAUCACUGCACCCCUCUGUCCUUUCCCACCCCUUGGCUUUUUCUCCCGUGAUUGUGGAGCCCGCAGGAUAAUCCUAGGUCACCUCCAGGCUCCGAGAGGUCCAUGGCUCCCUAUGACAAUCACUGUUGUGAGACAGAAAGGGGACAGGAACCAAGGACGUUUCAGGCCAACUGACCCAGGACAGGCCCCCAGACUCUCUGGACUGCAAUGACUUAGGAUCGUCAGAAGUGCCAAACCCAAGUUCGUUUACCCUGUCCCCAAGCCCGCUGUGACGACGUUACAGUUCGCCAGCUCAGGUCCACCGGGGAGCCUUGCCCCCUCUGCCCAGAUGACCCUGGGCCCCUCCCUCCCUCCAUCAGCAGGCAGCCUCUCCCAGCUUCCCUGUGGCCUUGGGGACAGCCGCUCACCCUUGGAGGUAAGAGGGGCAUCAGGGAGAAUCUGUGUCCUCACCUAACAUGCAGUUGCCCCAAGGGCAGUUCACACCACACUGUCUUACAGGAGUAGUGAGCAUUACUAAAAGCCACUAGAGGAAAUGCUGGCCAACUCUAACAUGAAAGUGAGCUUCACAGUGGGACUGUCGGACUUCAGGUCCUAGGCUGACUGAAGUGAGUACGGUUGCCGUUCUGUUUAGUGCUUUGUAGAGGGUUUUUGUUGCGAAGAGUUUGAGGGAAGAGCAAACGAGAUGCCACCCGCAUGCCUGCAGGUGGCCCUCAUCACCUGCCCCAUACGUAGGACCUGCACUCUUUGGUAAGGAGCGACUCAAGACACCUGUUCUGAGUGAAGGACCACUGAUCUCGAAGGAUCUUGAAGCUGCCCCAAGAGCCCAUUUAGCUCUCACGGCCAGCUGGCUGUCACUCUGAUGGCUAAGGCCUCCUCCUCCCUGGGUCUAACACGAGACUCUUCAAAAGGUUAAAGGUGCAGGCCUGAGCCGUUCAUUCACCUACACCAGGCAACACUUAGAGAGACAGCUAACAACUGCGUGCCGGGAUGGCAAGCGGCAUCUUGUUUUAUGGAGAAGGAAGAGAGUGAGGCAGUGUCUUCUGGCUUAAGGAGACGGCGAUAGCAUUUUCCGUCUGGGUCUAUAGAUUUAGGGACAGCCCAGCCCGGCUUCCAGCUCCCCAGGCGGCUCUAGUGGUGAAGAACCCACUUGCCAAUGCAGGUAGACAGACACAGGUUCGAUCCCUGGGUCAGAGAGAUCCCCUGGAGGAGGGCAUGGCAACCCACUCCAGUAUUCUUGCCUGGAGCAUCCCAUGGACAGAGGGGCCUGCGGAGUACAGUCCACGGGGUCUCAGAGUCAGACGCAACUGAGCGACUUAGCACAGAGCCCUGUCUGCUUCUCUAAGGACAGAGACACAGCCUGGCCAGAGCAUCCUCCCCAGGCCUCCCCGAACGCUUGUCUCACACUGUCUGGGGCAGCCUGCUGUACCCUCUCCACACCCGCCACCCCCCACUUUACUUCCCCGGCCCCCUGCUGCCCUAGAAGGCUCAAAGGGACGGGGUCCUCUCUCCACUUCAUUUUCUAUAAAGCAACCUAAAGCGUCACCCCCGCCUGCUGGCCUGAGUACAGGCACUUUUCAAGGUCGUUUUGCUGAAGAAUAAAGGGUUGGGGAGGAAGGGGGGCUUCAGAAGAAAAGAGGCUUAUCCCUGUGAGGAGGCCGGCUCAGGCCCUCCAAAGCGCCAGGCCCCUUAGAGAGGCCGGAGGCAGGCCCCCUCAGCUGCCAGAGUGAGAGGGGCGAGCAGGAGAGACGCAGUGAGACCGCGCUCAGGGAGGACAGUGCCAGAGAGAGAAGAAAAAGUGGGGACUUUGCCCUGAAGAAAAACAAAAUCCUUCCAGCCCACCAGCCCACCAGCCCCAACCUCCCCAGAAACCCAUUCAAAGCAAACCCAACCCCUGGGGCAGAGCCUGGCUCAGCAACCCAACCCUGAUCAGCAGCGGCGGGCUUGCCCUUAUAUACCCGCUGCGCUUCCCCGCGAUCAGCAGUAACGACACAGGCUGGGCUGGGCGUGCUCCUCACCCUCCUCUGCUACAGGUGGAAGGGGGCCUUCUAGAAGCUCAGAGCAUCUGGCUUCCAGCACCAGGUCCAUGUGGAGAUGGAG
ensembl:lncRNA